GAUGAAGAACGUAGCGAGAUGCGAUAAGUAAUUCGAAUUGCAGAAUUUCCGUGAGUCAUCGAAUCUUUGAACGCACAUUGCGCCCACUGGUAUUCCGGUGGGCAUGCCUGUUCGAGCGUCAUUAUCCUCCCUCAAACCUCGGGUUUGGUGUUGGACCCAAGUUGUGUGAACAACUGGUCUCAAAGACAAUGACGGCGUCCGUGGGACCCUCGGUGCAACGAGCUUUUAAACGAGCACGCGUCGAGUUUCAAGGACCUUCCGGGCCGGUCUCCUUCUUUUAUUUACAAAGGUUGACCUCGGAUCAGGUAGGAAUACCCGCUGAACUUAAGCAUAUCAAUAAGCGGAGGA
rnacentral:misc_RNA from 1 species